AUAUAGGGCAAUGUCUUUAAGUAGGGAUAAAUUAGUCUAAAAAAAAUGAAUCCUCAGUAGUGUUCCCUUCAAGUCAAGUGCCUUGU
rnacentral:pre_miRNA from 1 species